rnacentral:rRNA from 1 species
UACAGAGGGUGCAAACGUUGUUCGGAAUUACUGGGCGUAAAGGGCGCGUAGGCGGCGUGCUAAGUCGAACGUGAAAUCCCCGGGCUCAACCCGGGAACUGCGUCCGAGACUGGCAUGCUUGAAUCCGGGAGAGGGAUGUGGAAUUCCAGGUGUAGCGGUGAAAUGCGUAGAUAUCUGGAGGAACAUCGGUGGCGAAGGCGGCAUCCUGGACCGGUAUUGACGCUGAGGCGCGAAAGCCAGGGGAGCAAACGGG